rnacentral:rRNA from 1 species
CCUACGGGGGGCUGCAGUAGGGAAUAUUGCUCAAUGGGGGAAACCCUGAAGCAGCAACGCCGCGUGGAGGAUGAAGGUUUUCGGAUUGUAAACUCCUUUUGUUAGAGAAGAUAAUGACGGUAUCUAACGAAUAAGCACCGGCUAACUCCGUGCCAGCAGCCGUGGUAAUACGGAGGGUGCAAGCGUUACUCGGAAUCACUGGGCGUAAAGGGCGCGUAGGCGGGAUAGCAAGUCAGUUGUGAAAUCCUAUGGCUUAACCAUAGAACUGCAUUUGAAACUGUUAUUCUAGAGUAUGGGAGAGGUAGGUGGAAUUCGUGGUGUAGGGGUAAAAUCCGUAGAGAUCAAGAGGAAUACUCAUUGCGAAGGCGACCUGCUAGAACAUAACUGACGCUGAUGCGCGAAAGCGUGGGGAGCAAACAGGAUUAGAUACCCGUGUAGUC